AAAUCCUGGCUACUAUUAUCUUCUUCUUCUUCUUCUUUAUGGCGGGCUCGUUGCUAAGGACGCCUCCGUGCAAAACGUAAACAUCCGACAUGAAUUAAGUAUAUAUUUCAAAAGAAAAAUAAAGAAAAGAUGUAUAAAUGUACAACAGAAACAUAAUAAAUGGCAAACACAAGAAAAUACUGAGUUUUGUGGCAGAUAGAAGCAGCCUCAAAGGCUGUUUUUACUCCGUCACUCGUCAAUGCCCGUAUCUCCCCGCCUGCGUCACGACUUGCUCUGCUGAAAUUACCGCACCAUAACCACGUCAUCUGCCCCAAUGAUCUACGGGCCGGAGAACCAGCGCAGAAAAGGAGUAAGUUUAAUUGGUCGCCAGAUGAAACGGUCUUCUUACAUCAAAUUCAAGAAAAAAUACGUAUAAUCAGAGGGUGUUAUGGGAAGAGUAUCACCCCUGAGGAUAAGAAGAGAGCGUGGACUGAAGUGGCAGAAGCUGUAACAAGUGCCUUCCCUGGGAGUGGACCCCGUACGCAGGAUGACUGUGAGAGGCGUUGGUACAACGUACAACAAAAAUCAAAGCCUUGCAUUGCCAAGUGCAAGAAUGAGCAGCAGCAGACUGAUACACACUUUAUCAGUAUUGCUAGAGACCAUCCCAGCACAUUGUUCAUUACUUGUGGAAAAGAUACCAUUAGCUGCUCCGGCAACAGCCACCGCUUCAAUAUCUGCUGGCCCUAUGACACCAGCCACUGCUUCAUCAUCUGCUGGCCCUAUGACACCAGCCACUGUUUCAUCAUCUGCUGGCCCUAUGACACCAGCCACUGCUUCGUCAUCUGCUGGCCCAAUGACACCUGCCACUGCAAGGGAUGACAAUGAAGCUGCUCCACCAGUCACCACCUACUUCAUCGGAGUUAAGAGAUGCCUUUCAUAGGGCAGCAUAAUUUUUUGAUGCUGGGGCUGAAUAUUACUGCCUCAAGGCUAUGAUUUUUUCACUUUUUUUUUUUUUAUUACUGAGGAGGUUAGGGUGGAAGGGGUGAAAAAUAAUUUGUGCUGUUUUUCGACAGAAAUGAUUAGCAAAUUCAUUCAAAGCACAAAAUUUACCGGGAAAAAAAUUGUGUGCCAUUGUGAGUGGGUUCACUUGAGAUUGGGCUCCAAUACGCCUCCGUGGUCUAGUGGUCAGCAUGCCUGGCUUCUACGCGGGCCCGGGUUCGAAUCCCGGCCUGGGCAGUCGGCGUGCAGCUCACCCAGCUGAUCAUCCUCCCUCUCGGGCUGGUCGAUAAAUGACUACCUGGGGAAACUGUGGUAGCCCGGAUGUCACACUGGCCCUGUGUCCCGGGGUAAUGGGCUCCCUCUCACCACAGGCUCAAGGCCCAAUGUUACGGAGAUGAGCACCGAGGCCACGCGCUGCUAUAGCGUAUGCCCCAACUUUACCUUUACCUUUAUUGGCUCGACUGACAGACAUGGCUUUGUAUGUCGAAGGUCACUGGUUCAAUCUCCACAGCCAGCACUCUCUAACUUGGAUUUUUCCGAGUUCCUAGAGCCUAGA